UACCAGCACCCCGAGUGGUCGGGACGAUUAUUGGGCCUAAAGCAUCCGUAGCCGGUUCUACAAGUCUUCCGUUAAAUCCACCUGCUUAACAGAUGGGCUGCGGAGGAUACUAUAGAGCUAGGAGGCGGGAGAGGCAAGCGGUACUUAGUGGGUAGGGGUAAAAUCCGUUGAUCCAUUGAAGGCCACCAGUGGCGAAGGCGGCUUGCCAGAACGCACUCGACGGUGAGGGAUGAAAGCUGGGGGAGCAAACCGG
rnacentral:rRNA from 1 species